GAUGAACGCUGGCGGCGUGCCUAAUACAUGCAAGUCGAGCGAACAGACGAGGAGCUUGCUCCUCUGACGUUAGCGGCGGACGGGUGAGUAACACGUGGAUAACCUACCUAUAAGACUGGGAUAACUUCGGGAAACCGGAGCUAAUACCGGAUAAUAUAUUGAACCGCAUGGUUCAAUAGUGAAAGACGGUUUUGCUGUCACUUAUAGAUGGAUCCACGCCACAUUAGCUAGUUGGUAAGGUAACGGCUUACCAAGGCAACGAUCCGUAGCCGACCUGAAAGGGGGAUCGGCCACACUGGAAGUGACACACGGUCCAGACUCCUACGGGAGGCAGCAGUAGGGAAUCUUCCGCAAUGCGCUAAAGCCUGACGGAGCAACGCCGCGUGAGUGAUGAAGAUCUUCGGAUCGUAAAACUCUGUUAUUAGGGAAGAACAAAUGUGUAAGUAACUAUGCACGUCUUGACGGUACCUAAUCAGAAAGCCACGGCUAACUACGUG
rnacentral:rRNA from 1 species